AUUUAGGAAGAAAUUAAGUGCAUUUUAACAAUUUAGGUGCCUAACAAGCAAUAUUUUCCCAACACAUAAUCGAGCACGGUUGGCCUUUUGUCUACAUUAGCGAUUGUUUUGGCCUGUCAGCAGUAUUUAAAUUUGGCGCAUGUUUGUUUAUCCGUCGUGGCUCUCGCCGUGAUGACGUCAGCGCUGACGCGUUCAUUCAGCGUCGAGUCUUCAGAGCUGAGCUCCAUCAGUAAAAGACAAAGACAGAGUUUAUUGAAGGACAGUGAGAAGAUGAGUGAUCCAGAACCCUGCAGAAUUAAACAGGAAGAGACUGAAGAACUAAUAGAUGUGAUUGUGAAGGAGGAGAGUGAAGAACUGAGUGACGAUGAGGAGAAGCAUCAUGUCAAAAGUGAAAGUGAAACUCACACAAACACCGAACAUAGUAUUUCAGUGGAAGCAGCAGGCGUGAAAGGUUUCACCUGCACUCAGUGUGGAAAGAGUUACCGAGACAAACACAUUCUCAGGCAUCACAUGAUGAUCCACACUGGAGAGAAACCUUACAAGUGUUCACACUGCGACAAGGGGUUCAUUCGUUUAGGAAACCUGAAAACACACGAGAGGACCCACACUGGAGAGAAACCACACAAGUGUGAUCACUGCGGCAAGACCUUUUUUAUUUCUUCAGAUCUGAAGAAACAUCUUCGAGUUCACACAAACGAGAAGCCGUAUUCAUGCGCCGAGUGUGGGAAGAGUUUCACUCAGACGUCAAAUUUAAAAGCACAUCAGAGGAUCCACACUGGCGUGAGGGAGUUUGUCUGCUCUGAGUGCGGGAAGAGUUUCAUUACAGCUGCGCACUUGAAACUGCACCAGAUGAUCCACACCGGAGAGAGACCGUACAAGUGCUCGCACUGCGAGAGGAGAUUCAGUAUGUUGCAAUCAGUGAAAAUACAUGAGCGGAUUCACACUGGAGAGAGGCCGUUCGCAUGUUCUCUGUGUGGGAAAGGUUUCACACAAUCAUCACACAUUAAUCAACACAUGAAGAUCCACACUGGAGAGAAAACGCACAGGUGCGAGCAGUGCGGCAAAACAUAUUUCAAUGCUUCAAAUCUGAAAAACCAUCUCAGAGUGCAUACAGAAGAGAAGCCUUAUUCCUGCGCUCAGUGUGGGAAGAGUUUUGCUCAGACGUCAAAUUUAAAAGCACAUCAGAGGAGCCAUGCUGGCGUGAGGGAUUUUGUCUGCUCUGAGUGUGGAAAGAGUUUUAUUACAGCUAAAAACUUGAAAAUCCACAUGAGGAUUCACACUGGAGAGAGACCGUACAACUGUUCACACUGCGAGAAGAGAUUCAGUAUGUUACAAACACUGAAAAAACACGAGAGGCUUCACACUGGAGAGAAACCAUACGUGUGUUCAUACUGCAACAGGAGGUUCAAUCAAGCUAGUUCCCUUAAAUCUCACGAAACAACUCACACUGGAGAGAGACCGUUCAUAUGUACUCUGUGUGGGAAAGGUUUCACACAAUCCUCACACAUUAAUCAACACAUGAAGACUCACGCUGGAGAGAAAAACACAAGUGUGAGCAGUGCGGCAAAACUUCAGUGCUUCAAAUCUGAAGAAGCAUCUUAGAGUUCAUACAAAGAAGCGUUUUAAUGUUCACGAUGUUUAGACAUCAGUGGAAUUUACGUCGUCCUGAUCAACAGAUUUGUAUGUUAAUCAAGUAAAGUACACACCCUCGAUCACAAUUAGCAUAAUCCAAACAUGUCAAUUACAGCUACGCAAUCGCAUGUCCAGCAGUGCAGUGGAAUAUAUAUCAUUUUGUCUCCUGACAUGAUUGAUUUAAGUGAAGAAUGCACAUAAAUAGCCAGAUUCCCUUACCGUACACCCCAUACACAUGGGGCGCCAGCAUCAACGCUUUCCAUUGGCUGUUUCUCAAUAUGCAAUCUUCGGGUUUUCGUGUAACGUGAUCAUCAACUGCCAAAAGUUCAGUUCCAAUACUUGAGAACAGAGGACGCGUGAAACUUCCCGGGUGUGAUCUUGAUACCGAGGAUGCACCGAUGCAGACUUGAGCACCGAACUCGCUUUAGAAGUCCCAGAAGUCAUUGUGACUGGAUGUGGGAAACACAGAAUUUUAUAUAGAUGUUCAGUAAGGGUGUCGAUCGAAAUUUAUGCUCAAUUUCGAUUAUCAAAUCAAAAAAUAGAAUAGUCGAUGCUGCUACGCCCCCAUGUCAUGUCAGUUUGGCUUGCCAAAUGGAAAAAAACAGGCUUGUUGAAGUGCUUUUUAAACUGCAGACGCAGGAGACCCGUCGACAGAGCUUAAACCCUCUCCUC